GACGAACGCUGGCGGCGUGCUUAACACAUGCAAGUCGAACGGAAAGGCCCUGCUUUUGUGGGGUGCUCGAGUGGCGAACGGGUGAGUAACACGUGAGUAACCUGCCCCUGACUUUGGGAUAACUUCAGGAAACUGGGGCUAAUACCGGAUAGGAGCUCCUGCUGCAUGGUGGGGGUUGGAAAGUUUCGGCGGUUGGGGAUGGACUCGCGGCUUAUCAGCUUGUUGGUGGGGUAGUGGCUUACCAAGGCUUUGACGGGUAGCCGGCCUGAGAGGGUGACCGGCCACAUUGGGACUGAGAUACGGCCCAGACUCCUACGGGAGGCAGCAGUGGGGAAUAUUGCACAAUGGGCGGAAGCCUGAUGCAGCAACGCCGCGUGCGGGAUGACGGCCUUCGGGUUGUAAACCGCUUUCGCCUGUGACGAAGCGUGAGUGACGGUAAUGGGUAAAGAAGCACCGGCCAACUACGUG
rnacentral:rRNA from 1 species